rnacentral:rRNA from 1 species
CCCUUAGAUGUUCUGGGCCGCACGCGCGCUACACUGAUGCAUUCAACGAGUCUAAAACCUGGUCUGAUAGGGCUGGGUAAUCUUUUGAAAGUGCAUCGUGAUUGGGAUAGAUGAUUGCAAUUCUUCAUCUUCAACGAGGAAUGCCUAGUAGGCGCAAGUCAUCAGCUUGCGUCGAUUACGUCCCUGCCCUUUGUACACACCGCCCGUCGCUCCUACCGAUUGGGUGUGCUGGUGAAAUGUUCGGAUCGGCCGCUUGUCGCGGUUUCCGCGGCUCGUGGCUGAGAAGUUCAUUAAACCCUCCCACCUAGAGGAAGGAGAAGUCGUAACA